rnacentral:rRNA from 1 species
CACGCAGGCGGUCUGUCAAGUCGGAUGUGAAAUCCCCGGGCUCAACCUGGGAACUGCAUCCGAAACUGGCAGGCUAGAGUCUUGUAGAGGGGGGUAGAAUUCCAGGUGUAGCGGUGAAAUGCGUAGAGAUCUGGAGGAAUACCGGUGGCGAAGGCGGCCCCCUGGACAAAGACUGACGCUCAGGUGCGAAAGCGUGGGAGCGAACA